rnacentral:rRNA from 1 species
AUUGAACGCUGGCGGCAGGCCUAACACAUGCAAGUCGAACGGUAACAGGAAGAAGCUUGCUUCUUUGCUGACGAGUGGCGGACGGGUGAGGAAUGUCUGGGAAACUGCCUGAUGGAGGGGGAUAACUACUGGAAACGGUAGCUAAUACCGCAUAACGUCGCAAGACCAAAGAGGGGGACCUUCGGGCCUCUUGCCAUCGGAUGUGCCCAGAUGGGAUUAGCUAGUAGGUGGGGUAACGGCUCACCUCGGCGACGAUCCCUAGCUGGUCUGAGAGGAUGACCAGCCACACUGGAACUGAGAAACGGUCCAGACUCCUACGGGAGGCAGCAGUGGGGAAUAUUGCACAAUGGGCGCAAGCCUGAUGCAGCCAUGCCGCGUGUAUGAAGAAGGCCUUCGGGUUGUAAAGUACUUUCAGCGGGGAGGAAGGGAGUAAAGUUAAUACCUUUGCUCAUUGACGUUACCCGCAGAAGAAGCACCGGCUAACUCCGUG